CUAUUCCCUUCUCAGAACAUAUUGACUAAGUGAUCCACUGCUCAUGUCUGUAUCUGGAAGCUAAGACUGUAACUUUAAAACUAAAAUCUAAAGUAAAAAUAAUAUUUGGAUAAGUCUGUGAGCCUUUACAUUUAGGGAACAAUAACUCAUCUCAAAGGAACAUACUUUACUUUAGGAACUGAUCAUUUACUCAUACUAGUAGGAAAAAAAUACUCUCUUUAAGAAAAAAAAUAUAU
rnacentral:lncRNA from 1 species